rnacentral:lncRNA from 1 species
CAGUUUGAGAUUUCUAACUCUUCCUCUCACUCAAUCUAACUCUUCCUCUGACUUGUGUUUUCUCCACAAUUCACCUCGAUUAUUAGCUUCGUAUGCGUCUCCUCUAACUUCUGUUUUGCCGCCGUUCACCGCCGCCGCCCACCGUCUCCGCCAAACGUACCUUACUCAUUAUUUUCACUCAGAUUUCGACUUUUCAAACCCUAAUUUUAAUCGUUUUUUCUUACUACAUUUGAUUUGUCUCUUUGUUGCACUUUGAUUUUGUGAUUUUACAUUAGAAAUAGAUUGAUAGUAUUUAACUGUUUUAUAGAAAAUUUAGCUAUAUAUGUGCACCUCCAUAUGUGAUUUUAGCUGAGUUUAACUUGAUUUGUAUCUUACAAUUUUCUGGAUUUAAUUGUUGAAUGAAGUAUGAAUGAUGUUUUUGUGAAUUUAAUUUAAUAUAAUUUUUUAAAUUGAGAUGAAUAUGUACAAGGUGAUGGCUGAUGAUGAAUAAAUGUACAAAUUAUUAGGUGUUGAUGGUUCAUUGUAAGAUUCUAUAGGCUUCCAGUGUCCAAUCACGUGGUAAUUGUUAAAAAGAUCGAAAGCCACCACUAGCUUUUACUCAAUUGUUUUGUUUUGGCCGUAGAAUCAGAGCC